UUUGAAAGGUAAAAAAUUAAAUAAAUUGAAAACCUACAUACACCAUAAAAUUUGGUCUGUGCCACAAGAAAUAUUUGAAAUUAUUUCACAACUAGGCUGUCUUUGAAAAAAGAGCACAACUGAAAUCCUGAUUUUUCUUAAUGGGACAAAAUAAAACCUGAUUUGAAAAAAGGAAGUCAAGAAUAAGAGUUUCA